rnacentral:rRNA from 1 species
AAUCAACGCUGGCGGCGUGCCUCAGACAUGCAAGUCGAACGCGAAAGUCCCCUUCGGGGGACAAGUAGAGUGGCGCACGGGUGAGUAACACGUAGGUAAUCUACCUUCGGAGUGGGGAAUAACAACCGGAAACGGUUGCUAAUACCGCAUAAUGCAGCGGGCACCUAAUGGUGACAGUUGUUAAAGCGGGGGAUCGGUAAGACCUCGCGUCUGAAGAGGAGCCUGCGGCGGAUUAGCUAGNGGUAAGGUAAUUGGCUUACCAAGGCUACGAUCCGUAACCGGCCUGAGA